rnacentral:rRNA from 1 species
CAGUAGCCACGGGAAUACGAAGGGGGCUAGCGUUGUUCGGAUUUACUGGGCGUAAAGGGCGCGUAGGCGGGCGAAUAAGUCAGGGGUGAAAUCCCAAGGCUCAACCUUGGAACUGCCUUUGAUACUGUUUGUCUUGAGUUCGAGAGAGGUAAGUGGAACUGCGAGUGUAGAGGUGAAAUUCGUAGAUAUUCGCAAGAACACCAGUGGCGAAGGCGGCUUACUGGCUCGAAACUGACGCUGAGGCGCGAAAGCGUGGGGAGCAAACAGGAUUAGAUACCCCUGUAGUCCCUGUCUCUUAUAC